rnacentral:rRNA from 1 species
UACGGAGGGUGCGAGCGUUGUCCGGAAUCAUUGGGCGUAAAGGGCGCGUAGGUGGCCCGGUCAGUUCGUGGUGAAAGCGCGGGGCUCAACCCUGUCGUCGGCCAUGAAUACUGCCGCGGCUGGAGCACUGUAGAGGCAGGCGGAAUUCCGGGUGUAGCGGUGGAAUGCGUAGAGAUCCGGAAGAACACCGGUGGCGAAGGCGGCCUGCUGGGCAGUUGCUGACACUGAGGCGCGACAGCGUGGGGAGCAAACAGG